UGGGGUUAGCCCCCAAAAUAUUGGGACACAUAAAAAAAGACAACUCUGUUCCGCAGAGUAGCUGUUGACAUUAUAGUUGCGCAGGAACUUUGUUGACUCUCGGGCAAAUCGCACAUCCCCGUGGUGGCGACUUUGCAUGCGGAUGUCAACUUUUGAUGCCGUUUCUGCGCCUACCAUGGUGACCACAGGUAACGGGGAAUCAGGGUUCCAUUCCAUACAGGGACCCUGAGAAACAGCUUCCACAUGCAAGGAAGGCAGCAGGCGCGCAAAUGACCCACUCCCGACGCGGGAAGGUAGUGA